AUUUUGGACAAUGGGGGCAACCCGGAUCCAUCCAUCCCGCGUGUGCGAUGAAGGCCUUCGGGUUGUAAAGCACUUUUGGCAGGGAAGAAAAGGCGCGGGCUAAUACCCGGCGCCGCUGACGGUACCUGAAUCAUAAGCACCGGCUAAUUACCUGCCACCAGCCGCGGUAAUUCGUAGUGUGAAAGCGUUUAUCGGAAUUACUGGGCGUAAAGCUUGCGCAGGCGGUUAGGCAAGAAGGAUGUGAAAUCCCGGGGCUUAACCUCGGAACUGCAUUCUUAACUGCCAGGCUAGAGUAUGUCAGAGGGGGGUAGAAUUCCACGUGUAGCAGUGAAAUGCGUAGAGAUGUGGAGGAAUACCGAUGGCGAAGGCAGCCCCCUGGGAUGAUACUGACGCUCAUGCACGAAAGCGUGGGGAGCAAACA
rnacentral:rRNA from 1 species